AAAUUGAAGAGUUUGAUCAUGGCUCAGAUUGAACGCUGGCGGCAGGCCUAACACAUGCAAGUCGAGCGGCAGCGGGAAGUAGUUUACUACUUUGCCGGCGAGCGGCGGACGGGUGAGUAAUGUCUGGGAAACUGCCUGAUGGAGGGGGAUAACUACUGGAAACGGUAGCUAAUACCGCAUAACGUCUUCGGACCAAAGUGGGGGACCUUCGGGCCUCA
rnacentral:rRNA from 1 species